AAGUAUACAGGAAAUUGUGGGGUAGGCUGUCUCUCGUGAAUUGAGUUCUGCUGGGGCUAUAGAGCAUCGGGUCGGCAGCUGUCAUUCCCAGCUCUGUGACCUACUGCUUGGUACUAAAAAGGAGUUUUCUUCCAAAAGCACUGUUUCCAGUCUGAGUAGGAGCUACCAGCCUGUGGCAAUCAGCAGGGAAAGACAGGUGCUCCUGUCAUAGGGGCUUGAGCUACCACAGCUACCACACAGCUUUCUGGAUCUUCUAUAUGGCAGUUCAUUCUUGGCCCUCAGGAUUGGGGAGACCAGCUCUCAUUGUGUGUGCUCAGGGCUAAGUCUAAACAAGGGUUUGCUGGCCCCCAAGCUGUUGUUUGUUAGGUGAGGUUAAGUAGGGCUCUUCUGGUCCUGUGCAUACCUAUUGCCUUUGACAGAACGGUACAGUUUGUUUAUGCAGGAGGAUGGCAUGCCAACUUCCCAGCUGCCUACUAGCAGUUUAACAAGGAGCCUUGCUGUCUCAGACAGGUGAAAGAAAAUGUCAUGCAUGUAAAGAUCACAUCUGCCACUACCUUGGCACUCAGGUGCUGGUAUGUGCAUUCUUGCUUCCAAAGGAUUGACAGUAACAAAUUCUCAAAGCUUGACUGGAGCUGGCUGCAGCUCAAAACAGUGCCUCCUGCCUCUUUAGAGCGGGGCUGCUCGGCAGCAGUGACUGCAGCCCCAGCUUGCUUAAGCAGUGUAACAGCAGGGAAGCGGGAGGAGCUGAGAACUAUUAGAAGUUCCUAUUAUUUAUAAAUUCCACCCAAAGUGGACAGAGUCAGGUGCCAGACCUGAUCUGAAGUGCACCAAGGAAGUAUCUGGUGGUUCUCCUGAGAUGGGGGCCUUGCAGCCCAGCACCCCCUCACUGCCAGCAGGGCACCAGGAGACAGGGUCCAGGAAUCCAGGUAUGCCUGUACUUGCUUGAGCAACGACUGAGGGCUGCCAGCUUUUGCUGACAAGGUAGGAUGGGACCCCCAAUAAGUGGGUAUGGAUAUAUUUUUUUUUGUCUCUGUUCUGUUUAAACUUAUGUAGAUUAUUAUAAAUUGAUGUAAACCAUGUGAGAGGGAAAUGUUAAUAAAAAAAUUGCAAAGCCUCAACAUUUGC
rnacentral:lncRNA from 1 species